UUACGGCCAUAUCAUGCUGAAACACCGGUUCCCGUACGAUCACUGAAGUUAAGCAACGUCGAGUCUACUUUGUACGUAGAUGGGUGACCGCUUGGGAAUGGCAGGUGGU